rnacentral:rRNA from 1 species
AUGCCGCGGCGCCCGAGGGCGGACGCGGCGUCGGCAGCGGCGAGCGGUGGCGGCGGGCGGAGGAAGAGGAUGGCGGUGGCGAGGCUGGGCGGCGAGGGAGGCGGCCGCGGCGGAUCGGCUGAGAGCCGGCGGAGGCUCUUCGGGGCGCUGCGGCGGGUGCGGGUGCGGUGGCUGGCGGCGCUGUACCGGAGGACGCUGCGGCGGCUGCGCGCGAGCUACGCUAGGGCCCUCCGCGAGCUAGUCGAGGGCAGGGCGCUCCUGGGCGCGCUCAACGCGCCCCCCGGCGUCGAAUGCUCCCGCGCCGCGUCGUUCGGGCCGAUGGCCACCGUCGGCUUCUGA